rnacentral:rRNA from 1 species
GACGUAUUGCGAGAUCCAAGCGACCUGUAUACUUUAGAUUGCGGCUCCUUGAUCUUAUAGGCAAUCGCCACCGUACGAUCGUCGAUAUGUAGGCAGUGUACGUACUGAUGCCUCACGCUAACUGCUCCGACGGUACGCGUGAUCAUGACGAUCUGGUACGUAGCUAGAUCCGAGAAUCGAUCGAGCACACAGCUACUGCCUAAGCUGAGUCGUAUCGACAGAAUAGAUCUGUAGUCCGCCGUAACGAUGAUCCCGCGUUCGAUAACUGGAGCGCAGAGAAAUCGUAGCAUCCACUGGGAGUACGCCGCACGUGAACUCAAAGAAUGACGGGCCGCACGAGCGGAGGAACAGGGGUUCACUCCGAUGAUACCCCGAGACUACCCGGGCAUGAACUGCAGCGACGAUUCAGAGAUGAUGAGGCCUUCGGGCGCUGGUGGAGGUGCGUGCGGGGUGGUCGUCAGCUCGUGCCGUGAGGUGUCGCUUAAGUGCCAUAACGAGCGCAACCCUUUUCUUUAGUUGCCCAUCAGGUAAUGCUGGGCACUCUGGAGAUACUGCCACCGUAAGGUGUGAGGAAGGAAAGGGAUGACGUCAAAUCAGCACGGCCUUACGUCCGGGGCUACACACGUGUUACAAUGGGGGGUACAGAGAGUCGGAUAUACGCAAGUAUGUUCUAAUCCUUAAAGCCUUCCUCAGUUCGGAUUGGGGUCUGCAACCCGACCCCAUGAAGCUGGAUUCGCUAGUAAUCGCGCAUCAGCCAUGGCGCGGUGAAUACGUUCCCGGGCCGGGGACACACCGCCCGUCAAGCCAUGAAAGCCGGGGGCGCUUGAAGUCCGUGACCGCAAGGAUCGGCCUAGAGCGAAACUGGUAAUGAACU